ensembl:lncRNA
UAGUAACUCAGUAACUCGCUGGAUGUAUAGUAACUCAGUAACUCACUGGAUGUAUAGUAACUCAGUAACUCACUGGAUGUAUAGUAACUCACUGGAUGUAUAGUAACUCAGUAACUCGCUGGAUGUAUAGUAACUCAGUAACUCACUGGAUGUAUAGUAACUCAGUAACUCACUGGAUGUAUAGUAACUCAGUAACUCACUGGAUGUAUAGGAACUCACUGGAUGUAUAGGAACUCACUGGAUGUAUAGGAACUCACUGGAUGUAUAGUAACUCAGUAACUCACUGGAUGUAUAGGAACUCACUGGAUGUAUAGGAACUCACUGGAUGUAUAGUAACUCACUGGAGGUAUAGUAACUCACUGGAUGUAUAGUAACUCA